AGCAGUAGCCGCGGGAAUACGUAGGGUGCGAGCGUUAAUCGGAAUUACUGGGCGUAAAGCGUGCGCAGGCGGUUAUAUAAGACAGAUGUGAAAUCCCCGGGCUCAACCUGGGACCUGCAUUUGUGACUGUAUAGCUAGAGUACGGUAGAGGGGGAUGGAAUUCCGCGUGUAGCAGUGAAGUGCGUAGAUAUGCGGAGGAACACCGAUGGCGAAGGCAAUCCCCUGGACCUGUACUGACGCUCAUGCACGAAAGCGUGGGGAGCAAACAGGAUUAGAUACCCCCGUAGUCCCUGUCUCUUAUAC
rnacentral:rRNA from 1 species